rnacentral:ncRNA from 1 species
AGGGCGGGGUGCAGGCAAAUCCGCACCCCUCGAAGCCUCAGGUCCGACAGUGACCCCGUAUGGGGGGAAGCAGGGUGAUCCUAUGCUGCCGAGAAAAGCCUCGACGCGAGGGACUAGCCGCCCGUACCCUAAACCGACUCAGGUGGUCAGGUAGAGAAUACCAAGGCGAUCGAGAGAAUCGUGGUUAAGGAACUCGGCAAAAAUGCCCCCCGUAACUUCGGGGAGAAGGGGGGGGGCCUGAGGGGGUGAGGCCACUAGCUGGCUAGCCCUUUCGGGCCGCAGAGACCAGGGAGAAGCGACUGUUUACUAAAAAACACAGGUCCGUGCGAAGUCGCAAGACGAUGUAUACGGACUGACGCCUGCCCGGUGCUGGAAGGUUAAAGAGGACGGGUCAGCCGCGAGGCGAAGCUCAGAAUUUAAGCCCCAGU